AUGCUCGAAUUAAAUUCGGUAUGCACAAGUAAUUACUCCCUCCGUUCCACAAUAUAUGAUUAUUUUUCAAGCUAUGUUAGCUUGAAAAACGAUCUUACAUUGUGUGGGAUGGAGGGAGUAUUUACUAACUGGAUUAAAAAAUGUGAGCGUGACCAUCUGUCCACAAUAUUUUCGAUUAUGCCAAUGACCAUCUGCCAAUACAUAAAUUCUUAUUCAUCUCACUCACAAUCAACCUAUUUCUGUUUUGUGCCAGGCCAAGUCCUUCCAAACAAAACAGCAAACCAAGUCUUCCAAGCAAACCAGCAGGAAGCAAGAAACCAGGCAGUAGUUUGUAAUCCUGUUGAGUUUACUGAAAUGGGCAUCAUGUUUACUGAAUGCGCAUCAUGUUUCAGAAUUUGGAGGGUUCUCUCUCGCUGUACACUGAAUCUUGUGUCUUCUGUACACUUUCUGAAUGAGCAAGAAACCAAGCAAAACGUUGAGUUUACUGAAUCUUGUGUCUUUUUGUGCACUGGCUAG
rnacentral:rRNA from 1 species